rnacentral:lncRNA from 1 species
GUUUCUAUGUUUAGGGUUUGGGCAAACUGGUAUUUUCACUCUCAGGGGCUAGCUCCAUUUGUCUGGCCACUUUUCUGACUACAGUGUUGGGUAUUGCACCUUUACAACAAGGCUGUGAGGGCUGAGCACUCAGAGGCAAAGGCAGAGGCAGGGGGAUCCCUGAGUUCAAGGCUACCCAGGGCUACACAGAAGGGCACCUGCUGCCCUAGCCCUCACCUGGGUCCCCAGCAUCCCAGACAACAGUCACCUGUGUGGCUCCUGGUGUGGUGUGCACUAGGCCCAGAUGCCGGAAGGACAGGGAGAGAAUGAGCACAGCCUUGUCCCGGUGCUGAGCCUGUAAGCAAUUAAAGAAGAUGUUUUCAGCUAGUGAGGAAGACUUAGAUGGCUUUUAAAAAGUAAAAUGCAGGAACAGGAAUGUGCCACCACACCUUGCUGGGAGCAGGGAUAACACGCCCAAAGAAAAGGGAUGGGCUGGGUCACUGAUCCUCACAAGGCCUGAAGAAGAGGUGGGACUCAUCACGAGGCCACAAAGAAAUGCACAUUUUUUUUUCUGGAGGUGGAUUUUCUGUUUGCUGAACAGAGCAGAUGGCUGUGCUUGAGAGGGGAAAGGAAAUUGCUAACCCUGUCCUCUGGCAUAGAAGAAAAAAUUGACGAAGUCACCAGGCUGAGCUCCAGCCCCUCUUCUGCAGCCUCAGCAGAUUUCUCUGCAGACACUCUGCCAUCAGG